CAAUGAGGUGGGCUCACACCCCCAUUGGAGUCUGAGCUCACAAUCAUCUUUGUCCUGGAUAUAACUGAAUACAGGAAGAGUGAUUUUUUUUUCCCUAUCCCCCAGUAAGUUGCCUUAGCUGUCGGUCUGCCAAACCUCUUUCCCCAAUCUGUAGUCUGACUCCUUUUUUCACAUCUUUUUAUGGAAAAUUUCAAAACCGCGUUUCUAACAGUUUGGUUCGUAUGGGGAACCGGCCUCUCCAUGCUUUUAACACUGUGGAGACACAUUCGUGUCAAUAUGUUUGCAAUCUGCCGUGUUUCCCCAGCACUCCAAAUGUUUGGCAACGCAGCCUGAGGAAGAACAGGUGGAAAAAGUUUGCCUUGAAUUUCCCCUACAGCAGAGCCACCAUUUUUUUCUUCAUUUCUGCCCCCCAAACCAGAUUGCCUUUCUCUUUGGCUCCCUGAAUCAGACAUCACCUGCAAGUCACCGUCGGCAAACUCGGGAUCUUCCCCUGUGGAUAGCGAGUGCCAGUGAGCGAUUGGCUUCCGAGGGUAGGACAGCAUCUCGCUCCAGUGGUCCCGGCCCAACCUCUCCGCAUCGUUGCCUACUUGACACACGCCGAUGACUUCGUUGUGACCUACACUGUGAAAACGGCCCACCAUAUUGCUUUGUCUUAAAAUUUGUGACAUUCAAGAACAACCGGCACUUCUGUUCUCCACCGUAGAUGGCCCCCUGGUCCCCUGAUCCAGAGAGAUCAACACUGGACCCCUUGCUACUUCCUCUUCCUCUCUCUCCUCCUCACCUUCUGACUCCCAACCCCGUGCUCCAUCAGCUAGCCACGCUGCUUCUCUAGAAGAACGCUGAGAAUCACUGCCGGAACAUGUGGGCUUCCUGGUUCAGCUGGGCAUUUUCUGCCCUGUCUUUCUCAACCAGCCUUCGCCUUUCCCGGCAGGACAUGUCCAGAGACCUCAUCCCUCCUGCUCUUUCCCUGCAGCUUUCCGGCAAUGGCACCAGUGUGCGGAGAUUCCAUUUACCUCAGACACAGACCGGCUCGGGCCUUGAGUCUUCCCCAGCCCAGACUUCUGACACUGGACCAGACAACCACGGUUUGGCGGGGAAGAGCGAGAUGCACUGCGAACCUCGGCACUUGCUCUGUCAAGCCGAUUGGCUGUGCUGAACAAGCCAGGGAAAUGUCACUUGAAAUGUUGAAUGGAAUAAAUUGGUCUGCAGUAACCAAUCAA